GACGAACGCUGGCGGCGUGCUUAACACAUGCAAGUCGAACGGAAAGGCCCUGUUUCUGUGGGGUGCUCGAGUGGCGAACGGGUGAGUAACCCGUGAGUAACCUGCCCUUGACUUUGGGAUAACUUCAGGAAACUGGGGCUAAUACCGGAUAGGAGCUCCUGCUGCAGGGUGGGGGUUGGAAAGUGUCGGCGGUUGGGGAUGGACUCGCGGCUUAUGAGCCUGUUGGUGGGGUCGUGGCUUACCAAGGCUUUGACGGGUAGCCGGCCGGAGCGGGUGACCGGCAACAAUGGGACUGAGGUACGGCCCAGACUCCUACGGGAGGCAGCAGUGGGGAAGAUUGUACAAUGGGCGGAGGCCUGAUGCAGCAACGACGCGUGGGGGAUGACGGCCGUCGGGUUGUAGACCGCUUUCGCCUGUGACGAAGCGUGAGUGACGGUAAUGGGUAAAGAAGCACCGGCUAACUACGUG
rnacentral:rRNA from 1 species